rnacentral:lncRNA from 1 species
UUUUUUUUUUUUUUUUUUUUCCGGUACCAGGGAUCGAACUCACGACCUUGCGCUUGCCAGGCAGGCACUGUGCUGCUGAGCUAAAUCCCCAGCCCAACUCACUCUUUAUUACCUAGGAUGUGGUCUGGUCCCCAGCCAGGCAGGACCUCAGAGCUUAGUUCUGAUCCUCCUGCUGUUUUUGCUCUGGACGUCCUCCUUGGUGGCCACACAUACUCCACACUUUCACUGCUACCCUUGUGCCUGGUGUCUGGUCCAGGGCCGAGCCCAGAUGUCUUCAAGGCUGCUUUUCAACAACUGGCUGUCCACUGGACAUUUCCACCUGAAGUCUCCCAGGCUGGAAGCCACCAGAGCUUUUCACGGGGCUGUGUCCCUUGCAUGGUGGGUCUGUUCACUCUCUAGCUAAACAGUCCUCCCUGCUUCCAUGAAGAUGACCACAUUUCUCCUAAAGUCCUUUGAAGUCUGCAGCCCAACAUCACAACAGGA